CUUGGGAAUGCAAGAAGAUCUGAGUCUGAAUCACAUGGGAUCUGCUGUAUGUUCUCUGCCAGAGAAUCUGUGGUUGCAAUUUAAGAAGACUGUGUCGGCUGAUGUCUGAUUCCUUAGUAAUUCCAUGGUUCCUUACUAGCAUGGAGGAUGUUAUCUAGUUUAGAAGGAAGGAAAGAAAGAAGGAAAAAAGAAAGAGAAAGAAAGAAAGAGAAAAAAGAAAGAGAAAGAAAGAAAAAGAAAGAAAGAGAAAGAAAGAGAAAGAAAGCAAAAAUAAGAAAGAAAGAAAGAAAGAAAGAAAGAAAGAGAAAGAAAGCAAAAAUAAGAAAGAAAAAGAAAGAAAGAAAGAAAGGGAAAGAAAGAAAAGAAACAGAAACAGAAAGAAAACAGAAAGAAAAAGAAACAGAAAGAAAGAGAAAAAAGAAAGAGAAAGAAAGAAAAAAGAAAGAAAGAAAGAAAGAAAGACAAGCAAUUGUGUCACAUUUUAUUCCUCUAGCAAUCAGCCCUAUUUGAGGGAUACAUUCCAUAUUAAAUUCUUGCUUUCAUCUUCA